AAAUCUUCUCUGCUCUCAAACUAACCCUAAUCUCCAAUGACCUCCCACCACCUCUCAGAUCUCCAAUGGCUUCUCUCAUGUUGUUCUUGUCAUUUCCACGGCCCUCAAGUGACUAGGGCUAGUGGCUUGUAUCUAUUGUUAUUCUCUCGCCUGUUUCAUACCACUUCAGUGAGAUUCUGAGUAAUAUCAUCCUAUAUUAGUUACGAUCUAUGGGUUUCUCACUAUGUUUCUUCAUCUCUGUAUGGUUCUCUUCGAAACCGUAAUUUCUUUUCUAAACCUCCUAGAUCUGUAUAUAUAUAAGACUGUUUGAGUUUGUUUCCUAUGAGUUUUACAACAGCCUUAAGAUUCUUUACAAGAAUCGUAUGAUUUUCAAGUGAUUUUCAUCUUUCCUAAAACUAGGGUUUCCGAAAUUUCUUUUUAAAAAGUGUUUGAUGAUUUUAUGUGUUUAACCUUCUGCAUAUCAUAUAUUUUGACUAAUUUUAUGAGUCUGCUACAACCUUAACUUGCUUGCACUGAAAACCCUAAUUUUUUUGGGGUUCUUCGUUUGGUUUUAGAUAUUGGUACAUCUGAUUGUGUUCUUGCUUUGGGUUCUUAUAAUUUCUCGUAAUUUUCUUGUCCUAAUGUGCUUCUACUGAAUUGCUUAGUUCAACACUUUCACUAAUUCUAUAUGCUUGAUCUUUCUCAUUGAAUCGGUGUCGUUUAACUAUGUGUUUUGUUAAAACUAUGUGAAAUCCUGACUAUUCAUGUUCUACCUUAUUCUAUACGCUAAACAUGCCGACUCUUUCAUGACUUUCUGAACCCUUGAUUACUCUGAAUCCCUUAUUUCCUGGUUUAAUUUGAACACUUUCCAUUUAACUCUUGAUUCUUACCUGUCUAUUUGAUUUGACUGAAUUGCUUACCUUAAUUAUUUUUCCCUGCCUUGUUUAUAUUCCACUGAUUAUUAUUGAUUUGUUUCCUUAAUUAAAUUGUUGUUCAUUUAUCCCUAAUUACCUACUCUAUACUAAGCCUUGUUUGAUUCUUUUCCUUAAAUACUUAGCAUGAUUUUACCGUUGAUUUAAUUGUCCCUUGAUUAGGGGAAGAUCUUGCUUAUUUACGUGUGACUUCCUUGAUUUACUACUUAAUUGAUUUCUUACCUUAUGUGUCAAGUUUUUUAUUACUAUAUAAACCUCCUUUUCUUUUAAGUUCUGAAAAAACAACGAAUGUUAGUUCAAAAAAUCACUACUUCUUACACUUAAAAGUUCGCUUUCUCUGCUACUACUUGUGAUACUUGCUGAUCUAGCCGGCUGAAAGUCAUGCUAGAUAUUGGAACUUCAUUUGAUUUAUAUUCUGCACCCUUUUCUUCAACUGGUAUGUCUCUAGUUAAGUUUUGGAAUCCAAACCGUAUGUGUUUUUCACUCCUGCAUUAGUUCAUCAGUUAUGAGGUCAACUUGCAUUCGUGCCUACUUCUUUGCUUAGCAUGUCUAAAAUCUUCCUGUCCAAUGUAUUCUUUAAUCAUGCACCCUUUCUUGCUUACUUUUUUGCCUAGUAUGUCUAAAAUUAUGUCUUGUGCAAUGCAUUUUUACAUUCUGCACUCUUUCCUGCCUACUUCUUUACCUAGCAUGUCCAAACUAUAUGUUUAAUCUUGUUCAAGACAGGCCAACUAUUAUCUAUGUCCUAAAUAUUUACUGAGUCUCUAAGAUCCUAAGUGUUGCAUGCAGUUUGUGACUAUAUGUUUCUGCUAUCCCUAUCCUCGUACCCUAAGGUGAUUCUUAAGUGCCACAAUCCUUUUAUCCCCAUGUGAAGUUUUGUUUGUUUGAUUGUCUGAUGCUUGGUGCUCUUCUCAAACUGUGUUUUACCACUUAGUUAUUUCCUAUUUCUGAAAAAUAAAUCUACCUCUGAAGUC
rnacentral:lncRNA from 1 species